GCUGGCGGCCCAGCGGGCAGGGCCGCCUCGCUCAGUUGCGGUGCCGGGUCCAAGCCAGUGCUUGCAAAGGUGGCAAGCGCCCUUAAACUCUUUCCUGUGUUCUCUUCCUCUCCCUCCUGCCUACGGAAACCGUACAUUUAAGCUGCUGCCUCUGCCCCACUGCAUGGGACCUUAUAACUCAGGGAAGAGGACCUUAUAAUUGAGAGGAAGAGGUCUUUUUCUCCAGUGAAGAAAAUUGAAAAUUGAAAGAUGGAUGAAAAUUCUUCCCACAGAUCAUGUUUCCAGAAACAUACUGAGAAAAUGACAGAUGUUGAGAACCUGGCACUUCUCACCCAUCAUAGGAGUUGAAAAGAGCCACUGUUCCUCAGCAACCUACCUCACCCACAGGGGCAGACACACAGUCUCCAGGUAACCACAGUCCUCCAGAGUGAGUAAGGAGAAGGAGCUCCUCUGUUUUGUCUCCCAAAGCAGUCAAAGGGCCACUCUCACAUCUUGCUGUAUUUUAAGCAAACAUGAGUGUUUCUCCUACUCCAGACAAAGCCUGGUCAGGGGCCACUGGCAAAUCAGUGACAGAUUCCUCAGUUUGGCACAAUAAGCCCUUUCCAGCUGGCUCUUCAACUGUUUUCUAGCUUCAGCUCCUCCUUACACACUGGCCAAGUGCUCCUAUCCAAAAUACCAUUCCUCAUCUGAUAGAAAGUUUUCCACCCUUACCCUAAACACUCAGGCCAGGAUGUAUUAUUCCCUCUAAAACUCCAGAAUGGUGGGACGCCUGGUGGCUCAGUGGUUGGGCAUCUGCC